rnacentral:ncRNA from 1 species
AUCAACUGGCUACUGUGCCAGCUGGUGGAUAGCUCGGCUCGAGAGCCGAUGACGGACGUGCCAAGCUGCGAUAAGCCUCAGGGACCCGCAUGGAGGGAAAGAACUGAGGAUCUCCGAAUGGGAAUCCCCACGCAAUUGCCUUGCGCAAUGGGGAACGCUCCGAAUUGAAACAUCUUAGUAGGAGCAGGAAAAGAAAGCAAUCCGCGAUAUCGUGAGUAACGGCGAGUGAAAGCGACACAGUCCAAACCGAAGCCUUCGGGCAAUGUGGUGUACGGACUACCCGUAACGGACCUGGAUCUUACACGAAGUCUCCUGGAACGGAGCGUGAUACAGGGUGAAAACCCCGUAGUGUAAGAAAAAGGUCCCGGGGUUGUUCCAGAAUAGCGGGGGUUGGAUAUCCCUCGUGAAUUACGCAGGCAUCAACUGCGAAGACUAAACACUCCUCGAGACCGAUAGCGAACAAGUAGCGUGAGCGAACGCUGAAAAGCACCCCGAAAAGGGCGGUGCAAUAGGGCUUGAAAUCAGUUGGCGAUAGAGCGACGUGGCAUACAAGGUCGUCUGACGAAUGAACUGAGAGCGAUCUCGUAGUAAGACUCAGACGAAGCCGAUGUUACGUCGUACGUUUUGAAAAACGAACCAUGGAGUGCAUCUGACUGGCGAGUCUAAGGGGUGAACCCCCGGAGGCAUAGGGAAACCGAUACGGCCGCAGUCUUUGACCAGGGCCACCGUCUUCAAGGGCGGGGAGCCAACCGGAUGCGACCCGAAACCAAGUGAUCUACGCCGGAGCAGGGUGAAGCGUGGCGAAAGCUGCGUGGAGGCCCGUUAGAGUUGGUGUCCUACAAUACCCUCUCGUGACUCUGGUGUAGGGGUGAAAGGCCCAUCGAACUUGGCAACAGCUGGUUCCAACCGAAACAUGUCGAAGCAUGACCUCUGAUGAGAUAGUUCGUGAGGUAGAGCGACCGAUUGGGAAUCCGGACUCCGAGAGGAGUUCGCUUCCCUGUCAAACUCCGAACUUACGAACGUCGUAGACUCAGGGAGUCCGGUGUGCGGGGUAAGCUUGUGCACCGUGAGGGAGACAACCCAGAGCUAGGUUAAGGACCCAAAGUAUGGAUUAAGUGCGAUUGAAGAUUGUCUCGAGCCCUAAACAGCCGGGAGGUGAGCUUAGAAGCAGCUACCCUCUAAGAAUAGCGUAACAGCUUACCGGCCGAGGUUCGAGGCGUCGAAAAUGAUCGGGGCUCAAAUCCAUCUCCGAGACCUGGCGGCGUACUCAUAGUACGAUUCCGUAGGUUGGCAUACUGU